AUGCCAGUGUUGUGUAGUGGUUUGAGCAUUUGACUACAACUCUAGAGAUCAGGGUUUGAUUCCCUGCUAGGAUG